AUUUUGGGGGUCAGUGCACGGGGAAGGGAGAAAGCCUGGGCUUCCCUCACCCAUGGGUGAGUGGGGUUUUCCCUGGCAUGCAGGGGUUGGGCCUUCCUCAAGCCCCAGACAGAGAUAUGAUUUUUGACCUUUUUUCUUGUUGCCCCUUUUUGUCUGUAAUCUACUUUCAAUCAUUUCUUGUUCGUUUUUCUAGAGGAAGCAUUCUAGUUUGGGUCCAGUCUGGAUGGGGAAGUGUUUGGGAGCAGCUGUGGCGUGGAUGGGCCGUGCCCUUGGAGAAGGCUGAGGACAUCGUUUGGGACCAGCUUUUCUUCCAGUGGUGGAUGGCAUCAAACGGGCUCUGCGGGUGCUGAGGCUGCUCUGGGCUCUGCCAGGGCUCUGCUGGCGCUCAGCACCGGGCCCCAAUCAGCCAAAGAAGAAAUGGUGUGACCUGCAGCACAGACUUGCUUGAGCAUUUCAGCAACACAGCUCAAGUUUGCAGAGUGUACACCUCCAAGGGAAAAGAUGCCACCACGCAAAAAUUAAACUUGUUCAAUAGCUUCUGAAAUGAAAUCUA